rnacentral:rRNA from 1 species
AUUGAACGCUGGCGGAAUGCUUUACACAUGCAAGUCGAACGGCAGCACGGACUUCGGUCUGGUGGCGAGUGGCGAACGGGUGAGUAAUGUAUCGGAACGUGCCCAGUCGUGGGGGAUAACGUAGUGAAAAUUACGCUAAUACCGCAUACGAUCGAUGGAUGAAAGCGGGGGAUCGCAAGACCUCGAGCGAUUGGAGCGGCCGAUAACAGAUUAGGUAGUUGGUGGGGUAAAGGCCCACCAAGCCAACGAUCUGUAGCUGGUCUGAGAGGACGACCAGCCACACUGGAACUGAGACACGGUCCAGACUCCUACGGGAGGCAGCAGUGGGGAAUUUUGGACAAUGGGCGAAAGCCUGAUCCAGCCAUUCCGCGUGCAGGAUGAAGGCCCUCGGGUUGUAAACUGCUUUUGUAUAGAACGAAAAGGUUUCUACUAAUACUAGGAGCUCAUGACGGUACUGUAAGAAUAAGCACCGGCUAACUCCGUGCCAGCAGCCGCCGCUG